AAGAAAAAAAAAAAAAAAAAAAAAAAAAGGUAGUACUUACUACAUCCAGGACUUAAUUUGUUGUUCAUGUAUUAUCAGUAGGAUUUACCAGAACAAACUAUUACCUAGAGAGCAGAGAUCAAGUACAAACAAAGAACUCAUAAUUGAGCAGAUGUGUCAAAAAGGCAAAUUAUAACACCCAGAAUUUCUAUCUAAAGCUAUAAUUGAAAGUAACUCUCAUAAAAAUGCUAUCCAGUGGAACUUUUUGCAAGAAGGGAAAUUGAGAUUACUACCAUUUCUGAAGGCUGCAUAAGUUUUAAUGUGAUUAAAACUGACAUCUGGUCUUCUCUCUCUGCUGUGCAUUGAGCUUCCUUCUUGUGAUCUUUUUGUAUGCUCACAUAUAUAUACUGGUAAUAAAGCUUUAUAGAGAUUAUCAGUGGUAAUUGCCAUUUGUAGCCUUUCAUGCCAGAAAUUUUGCUAAAUUUUCUGUAUUGCUCAAUGAUUAAUACUUCCAAUACAACAUGCAGAUACUGAGAAAAUAAUCUGAUUUUCUUUUUAUAAUCUUUAGUGUCAUUUCCAUUAGUCCCUGAUAAAGUAUGCCCUUUGUUACAGAAAAUAAAUAUUAAACACAUAAAAAAACAACAUUUUGGAAUGAUAAUCAUUUCAAAAAAUAUUGAAAGCUGAAAGAACAUGAUGUUUUCCUCUGCUGUAAUUACAGUAUUUUUUUUUCGAAAAUCUGAAGAACCAUUUUAUUUUUAUUUGACAUGGGUAAAGAAAAAAAAAAACACAAAAACAGAAAAGAAAAUGUGUUAUCAGCUUGCUUAUCAACAGUGAAAAAACACAACAGGACAUAGUGUGAUGAAUCAGAAAUCUCUUUAGGUUUUUUAAUUUACUUUUUAAGUACUUGCAUUUCUCAUUUCUAUAAAGUUCUAUUUAAUGCCCUAUGCAAAGCCAUAUCAGUAAUAAAGUACAGUUUUGUAAGAAUGCAUAUAUCAUUCCUGUAGCAGUUAAUAUCCAUCUUUUAUUCUUUUGUUUGGACUUGUAAAUUUAAAUGCUUUUUUCAGUCAUUCUGCUGCAGUUAUUUUUAACCAAACCACGUACAGAAAAGUUAAACAUAGAUGUGCACAUACACAUAUAAGUGCAGCACAGCUGACUAGGCAAGGGCACCAACCUAUUAACACUGAGAAAAUUCUGGACAUGAGAAUCCAACAGUCUGUAGCUGUUGUACACUUCUGAGAUGAUGAAUGUAUUAAAAUCUUCCUAAAUAUACUGAGAAUAAGAACCUAGAUUUGCAGCUUCAAAACCUUGAAAGUAAUUCAGAGUUAUAUUUUUGAAUUAAAGUUUAUGUUACAUUAUCCAUCUUUCAGUCUCUCCUUUCAUUACCACUGCAAUAUUUUCUCAUAUACUUCUGAAUAGUUUCACCUUGACCAAACUAGUAAACACUAGUUCUGAUAUAUCAGCUUAUUUCUCCCCACUGUAAACAAACUGCUCUUCAGGUGCAUUAAAAGUGUCAAAUGGAUUUCAACAUAUAUCUCUUCAUUACCCCAGAUUUGUGUGUAAAAAAUAAUAUUAAAAUAAUGCAUGCAAGUACUGGUAUUGGGUAAAAAAAAGGGUAGAUGAUAGUUUUUUUCAUUAAUCGUCUAUCAGAUUAAUCAUCCAUCUACUGACUCUUUAAUUUCUUUCUUUCUUAAUUAUUUAUCUAUUUGUUUUCAGUUAUAAAACCCAAGGACUACCCUCCACUCCUCUUCUUUCAAGUUGAGUCAUAGAAGACUUCAACAAAGAUAUUGAAGAAUAUUAGAAGAGUCUUUAUAUUCCUUGGGAAGAUGUUGAAGGGAUCAGGAAUACAGGUUGUAUUCUCUUUGAUCUUCCUGGUUGGUGACUUACAUCUCUUUUGUCCUCGAACCUCUAGGUUAUGAGUGGGGGAGCAAAAUCCUUCAUACUGCAAGCAAAGAGUAAGUUCAAGACCACCUCAUGAAUGGUGGAAUGUGUACAAGUCUACAUGGCCUGAUGACAUGCACUCCAGGGUUCUGAAAAGAAAAAAAUGAAGGAGAAACCAUUUUGUGUUUGAAUAAAUUCCAGUAUUCUUUUGACA
ensembl:lncRNA